UCCCGCGUAAUUUAAGCAUAUUAAUAAGCGGAGGAAAAGAAACUAACAAGGAUUCCCUCAGUAGCUGCGAGCGAACAGGGAGGAGCCCAGCACCGAAUCCUGCGCGUCACGAGCGCGUCUGGAAAUGUGGUGUUUGGGAGGAUCCGAUCAUCUCGCUCGGGCGCGCCAGUCCAAGUCCAUCUUGAAAGCGGCCACAGCCCAUAGAGGGUGCCAGGCCCGUAGGACGGCGGCCUCGUCCCGAGCGAAAGGGUCUCUAGAGUUAAAGAGUACGUGAAACCGUUCGGGGGUAAACGGGCGAAAUCUGGAAAAUCGAACGGAGACGUUCAAGCCCCACUCGCCGCGCGUUGUACGAUGACCGCCGAUGGGGGCGCGGCGCCCGCGCGUACCGCAAGGUGCGCGCGGUGUCGUUCGCGUCGUCCACGCGCCGCGUCGUCGUGCUCGCCGGCGUCGGGCCGCACUCGUCUCCCGGUAGUACGUCGCGACCCGUUGGGCGUCGGUCAAAGGCCCGCGCGUGGAGCCGGCCGAUGUGCGCGCCGUGGCGUCGCGGGGUUCGCCCCGCGGUCGCCCGCGCGCCUCGGCCGACCGCUGCGGUGUCCCGACCGACUCGCUCGACGGUAUGCACACACCGUUGUCGAUCCGAAUCGCACACAGUCCGCGCGAGCGGACGUGCGGCGUCCUCCGCGGCGCACGGAUCGCGUCGGCGACGCUCUAUCCAGAGCAUCACCCGACCCGUCUUGAAACACGGACCAAGGAGUCUAACAUGUGCGCGAGUCAUUGGGACCGCACUAAACCUAAAGGCGUAACGAAAGUGAAGGCCGGCCGUGGCGCGGCGCGUCCACCGCGGCGCGUUCGUCGCCCGCCGCCGAGGGGAGAUGCGACCCGUCCACGCGACGCGGUCGCCGCAUCCCCGGGGCGUCUCGUUGUCAUUGCGACACAGCAGGCGCACCCAGAGCGUACACGUUGGGACCCGAAAGAUGGUGAACUAUGCUGGUGCUCGGAGGUAGAUCGUGGAGCGUCGGCGCCAGCCCGUCGCGCUUCGGCGCGGCUGCGGCUCGCCGACGCACGUAACCAGUCUCAUCUGGUAAAGCGAAUGAUUAGAGGCCUUGGGGCCGAAACGACCUCAACCUAUUCUCAAACUUUAAAUGGGUGAGAAAUUCGACUUGCUCGAAUCGAUGAAGUCAAAUAUAUUGACUGGAUGAACGAGUGCCAAGUGGGCCAAUUUUGGUAAGCAGAACUGGUGCUGUGGGAUGAACCAAACGUCGAGUUAAGGCGCCUAAAUCGAUGCUCAUGGGAUACCAUGAAAGGCGUUGGUUGCUUAAGACAGCAGGACGGUGGCCGUUGUUGAUGUGCAGUCGAAAAUGUGUGUGUGUCUGAGUCGCGUGCCGACCUCGCGCUUACAUGACCACAUCGGGCGAAAGGGAGUCCGGUUCCUAUUCCGGAACCCGGCCGCGGAACCGACCAUGCGGGCCAAUGUCGCGCAAGCGGCAACUCGUCGGGGUGACCCAAAAGGACCCGGAGACGCCGUCGGAUGAUCGAGGCAGAGUUUUCUGUUCUGUAUGAGCGUUCGAGUUCCCUGGAAUCGCCUAGCGCGGAGAUAGGGUUUGGAACGCGAAGAGCACCGCACUUGCGGCGGUGUCUCGAUCUAUCCCUCGGACCUUGAAAAUCCGGGAGAGGGCCACGUGGAGGUGUCGCGCCGGAUCGUACCCAUAUCCGCAGCAGGUCUCCAAG
rnacentral:rRNA from 1 species